rnacentral:rRNA from 1 species
ACGAUCCGUGCGAACGUUGUUCGGAAUCACUGGGCUUAAAGGGCGCGUAGGCGGCCAGCGCAAGUCAGUUGUGAAAUCUCCGGGCUUAACUCGGAAAGGUCAACUGAUACUGCGGGGCUAGAGUGCAGAAGGGGCAACUGGAAUUCUCGGUGUAGCGGUGAAAUGCGUAGAUAUCGAGAGGAACACCUGCGGCGAAGGCGGGUUGCUGGGCUGACACUGACGCUGAUGCGCGAAAGCUAGGGGAGCGAACGGGA